GUUCUAAUGAGCUCCGACGUUGAGAGACGUUGUUCGGGGCGCCAACUGCUGCAGGCUUUGAUGAUGGAGUACCUACGGAACAUGUGACUUGGAGCAGGUUGCCGGCCGUUUGAGAUACUUUCCUCUCUGUAGAUACUGCAGAAGUUCAUUCACCUCGAUGUGGGCAAAUGUGGACACUCACACAUCACUAGUCUGGCUGACGGCUCUUGUGCUUAGCACUUCUGGGGCCUGCCACUUCCUCAUCUCCAUGUCCUGCCCCUGUGUAACGGCCUGUGUUCUCCUGUGAUAGGCUGGGCCCAAUCCCCACAGCUUUGCUGUCAGGUCUCCACCAACCAGAACGCUGCGUGCUCCCACGUUGCCAUGGAUGCAGUUCUGACUGUGUACCCCAGCAGAUCCCUGUGCUGCAGCUCCUCGACUACCAUCAUGAGGGGCGGCUGCACUGAAACCACACCCAGCAGCUCAGCUCACUUUACCUUUCAGAACCCUCAGGAUGACGUGUCUAUUGUCCAUGCUGGCUCUGUGUAGGCUGGAUGUGUCAUUAGGCUUGAAUGAGAAGGACACUGGCAAGGCAGUGACCUGGUUGAAGACUCCAUGAUGCCUCUCUGUGAACAUCUGAGGUACUGCAUGCUGCACUUCUUGAACUGACAUUGGCAGCUCUUCAUGUUCCAGUGGAUUUAUCCCUGGGGGAGCUUUUCAGAGACAGAGAGAGAGAGAGAGACACAUAGUAGAGAAGAAUAAUACAUAUGUGUGUGUGUAGUUCUUUGGUUAAUUGAGUUAAAAUGAAAACUGCAACAAAAAAAACAGGAACACCGAGCCUUAUGCAUGCUUGCUCACCAUCAAUGCCUUGUAGGUGAUGUCUGUGGCUGUGCCUGUUCAGUGAACUGUGGGAGCGUUUAGGGGCUGUGAUCUGUGUCCGCUUAUGUUUGGGUUCACACCUCAGUAAGAACAGGGUCAGUAAGGUGAUCAGGGUUCCCAGGAGGAGCAGCGUAGGGACGAUGAUCACCGCCUGCAUAUGAAGCAAUACAACUGAGAGGGAAAGAGACGUUCAUGUUUAAAUUUCAAGUACAAGUAGGGAUGGGGAUGUAUUUCAUCAAUUAGAGAUGCACCGAUUGACCGGCUGGCGACCGGAAUUGGACGAUUUUCACGUCAUCGGCCAUGGCCGGUCAGUAUGACAGAUGCCGAUUUUAUGCUGGUCAAAUUCACUCGGGUGCUGCAUGAUUUACAUUGCACAGCAUCAGUAUGCAGGGUUUUUGCUAUAUGCAUGUAGCUGCACAGCUGUCUACUCUACUGAUGUCAGGCGAACAGUCAGCCGCUCUCUCUCCCCCUUUUGAGGCUGAAAAACUGGAACAUGAAAACCAAACUCACGCGGGUCUCGUGAAAUAUGACAGCUAUUGUUUA